rnacentral:rRNA from 1 species
UACGAAGGGGGCUAGCGUUGUUCGGAAUUACUGGGCGUAAAGCGCACGUAGGCGGAUUUGUAAGUCAGGGGUGAAAUCCCCAGGCUCAACCUGGGAACUGCGUCUGAUACUGGAUGGCUUGAAUUCGGGAGAGGGAUGCAGAAUUCCAGGUGUAGCGGUGAAAUGCGUAGAUAUCUGGAGGAAUACCGGUGGCGAAGGCGGCAUCCUGGACCGACAUUGACGCUGAUGAGCGAAAGCUAGGGGAGCAAACGGG